rnacentral:rRNA from 1 species
ACUGGUUGAUCCUGGCUAGUAGUCAUAUGAUUGUCUAAAAGAUUAAGCCAUGCAUGUGUAAGUAUGAACGAUUUCAGACUGUGAAACUGCGAAAGGCUCAUUAAAUCAUUAUAGUUUUGUUUUAAAUGUAAUACUACCGGCAUAACCGUAUAUAAUUCUAGGACUAAUAACGUGCAACAACCGACUCUGGAAGGAUGCAUUAAUAGAUAAAAUGUCGACGCGGGUUCUCCCUUGCUCUGAUGAUUCAUGAAACUCGACGGAUCGCAUGGCCUUAGGCUGGCGACGCAUCUUCAAAUUUCUGCCCUAUCAAACUUUCGUGGAGGAUAGUGGCCUGACCAUGUGGGUAACGGGUGACGGAGAAUUAGGAGUCUUGAUUCCGGAGAGGAGCCUGAGAAACGGCUACCACAUCCAAGGAAGGCAGCGGGCGCGCAAAUUACCCAAUCCUGACACGGGGAGGUAGUGACAAUAAAUAACAAUACCGGCUCUUUGAGUCUGGUAAUUGAAUGAGUAAAUCUAAAUCCCUUAACGAGGAUCCAUUGGAGGCAAGUCUGGUGCCAGCACGCCGGGUAAUUCCAGCUACAAUAGCGUAUAUUUAAGUAUGUUGCAGUUAAAAAGCUCGUAGUUGAACCUUGCGAUGGGUCGCCCGGUCCGCCUUUUGUGAGACACCGUCGUGCUUGUCUCUUCUGUCGCGAUACGCCCUGGCGUUAAACUGGCGGGCCGUGCCUCCGGCGCUGUUACUUUGAAGAAAUUAGAGUGCUCAAACAAAGCCUACGCUCUGUAUACAUUAGCAUGGGAUACAUCAUAGGAUUUCGAUACUAUUGUGGUUGCCUUACGGGAUCGGAGUAAAGUAUUAACAGGGACGUCGAGGGCAUUGCGUAUUCAUAAGUCAGGAGGUGAAAUUUUUGAUUUAUGAAAGACGAACUAACUUGCGAAAGCAUGUUGCCAAGAUGUUUUCAAUUAAUCAAGAACGAAAGUUGGGCGGCUGAAGACGAUCAGAUACCGUGCUAGUCUCAACCAUAAACGAUUGCGCGACCAGCGGAUCAGCGGAUGUGCUUUUAGGACUCCGCUGGCACCUAUGAGAAAUCCAAGUUUUGGUUCCGGGCGGGAGUAUGUCGAAGGCUGAAACUUAAAGAAUUUGACGAAGGGCACCACCAGGAGUGGAGCCAGCGGCUUAAUUUGACUCAAAACGGGGAAAACUUACAGGUCCAGACCUAGUAAGAAUUGACAGACUGAGAGCUCUUCUUAUUUUGGGUUUGUCAUGGCCGUUCUUGUUGGUGGAGCGAUUUGUCUGGUUAACUUCCGUUAACGAACGAGACACUCAGCCUGCUAACUAGCUAGUGGAGGGCAUCCUUCACCGCCCGGCUUCUUAGAGGGACUAUGGCGUUUAGGCCAACGAAGUUUGAGGAAAUAAAGGCUGUGAUGCCCUUUGAUGUUCUGGGCCGCACGGGCGUGCUACACUGAUGUAUUCAACGAGUUUCACACCUUGGCCGACAGCCCGGUAAUAUUUGAAAUUUCAUCGUGAUGGCGAUAGAUCAUUGCAAUUGUUUGGUCUUCAACGAGGAAUUCUCUAGUAAGCGCGAGUCAUCAAGCUCGCCUUGAGCUCGCCCUAGCCUUUUACACACCGCCCGUCGCUCCUACCGUAUUGAAUGAUCCGGUGAAGUUUCGGGUCUGCGGCGACGUGGGUGGUUCCGCCGUCCGCGACGUCGCGAGAGUCCACAAAACUAUAUUUAGAAAAGGAGAAGUCGUAACAAGGUUUCCGUAGGAUAACUGGCGGAAG